rnacentral:rRNA from 1 species
GAUGAACGCUAGCGGCAGGCCUAACACAUGCAAGUCGAGGGGUAGAAGGAGCUUGCUCCUUUGAGACCGGCGCACGGGUGCGUAACGCGUAUGCAAUCUACCUUGUACAGGGGAAUAGCCCAGAGAAAUUUGGAUUAAUGCCCCAUAGUAUAUAACCUUCGCAUGUUGGUUAUAUUAAAGUUCCAACGGUACAAGAUGAGCAUGCGUCCCAUUAGUUAGUUGGUAAGGUAACGGCUUACCAAGACGAUGAUGGGUAGGGGUCCUGAGAGGGAGAUCCCCCACACGGGGACUGAGACACGGACCAGACUCCUACGGGAGGCAGCAGUGAGGAAUAUGGGUCAAUGGUCGAAAGACUGAACCAGCCAUGCCGCGUGCAGGAAGACGGUCCUAUGGAUUGUAAACUGCUUUUAUACAGGAAGAAACCCUCCCACGUGUGGGAGCUUGACGGUACUGUAGGAAUAAGGAUCGGCUAACUCCGUG